GUUCUUUUGCCAACAGGAGCUGGUAAUCAGGAUGGCAGUGAGGCACACACUUGCUUGCAGAAGAACAGGCCUAGGUUUUUAAGAAGCCACAAAAGUAUCUUUGGAUGAUUAGGAUCUAAGGGGCCAACAGCUUUGCAAUAACAGCAUAAAUAUUGUGGGCUGGAUGGACAGGCACCAAAUGGGGACAUUCCAUCCUGCUGUGUGAUGAGAAAGCUGCCACUUUUGAGGCCUUCCAAAACAAAUAAACACUCUGUAUGCCAGAAGGAAAAGCCCAGGGAAGACCUAUUCCAACUGGAGAUGGUGAAUGUCAUUUCUUCAAGAAGCUGAGAUCCAGCUGGUAGUGCCAGGUAGAGAGUGAGUUGGGUAGCUGACCUCAGGCAUGGCAGCCUUGGUUUUUGGCCACUUCACGGGGUGACCUGUUGAGCCAACAGCAGUGGAAUUCUGCAGCUGUGGACCAAGACCUAAAUACUCAUUCCCACUGACUCAGAGACACGCUAUAGCCGAGGGUGGGGCAGGAAUAUGAAGGGAGAAUGAAACAAAACUGCUCUGCUCAGGGGACUUGGAAAGGAAAUUGAAAAGCUAAAGAAAUUGAGACAAACUACAUAAGUUGCUGAAAAAUCACAGGAAUAAUUAGCUGAGGAAGAGCCUCAAAUCUACCAGAACUGUUUGACUUUUGAUCCUGAGCUCAUGCGUAUCCAGUGAGGGUGCAUGGGUUUGUGAAGACUCCAGCAGUAUGAUUGCGGAACUCACUUGCCAGCCUCUGCCUGGAUCCAGAGACAUUGCCUGAACUGUAUGAAUUGCUAAGAAGCUGCUAGUCUACAAGGAAUUUCCCUUUUCUUCUUCUCUUAAUAGACAAAAAGUUGACAUGCAGGCUGGACAUAGAGGGGGCCUCGAUUGCUUAGAAGCCAAACUGAACUCACCAAGAAAAGAAGACAGGAGAAACCUCUCAAGGGGAAUAGCUCCAAAUUGCAGGAUCAAAUACCAUAAGAGGAAUUCUGGACUGAAGAAUUAGGAAGUCAUUCAUUUCAGACACUUCUAGAUAAUUUGUGUUAAUUAAAUUCUCACCAGUUGAGUUCCAUUCUGCGCUGGAAGAGCAUUUUUCCUGGAAAGGUUCCUCAAAAUGUACAGUUGGCAAACGCAGAGAGGUAUGCUCAUAGAAGAGGGGAGUUUGGAACUGCAAAUAUUCCGAGCCCCAGGACCUCUCUUUUGGUUGCCUGCUCUGCUACAAAGCUGGAGGUCUAAAGUGGAGGCGUGCAGAAGAUACCAUCUGGCUGGUAGGGGGUCUAAUUACAUGUGUGUGCAGCCCUAUGCGGUAGUCUGGGAAUGCAAUUAUACAACUAAUUAUAUUGAAGCAACAAACUUGAGCUUCCAUGAAGGGCCCCCACCCAUAGAACCAUCAUGUUAUCAUUUUCAUACAUGGCCAUUCUUUUCUUCUGUUGUAGCUUCACUCGUUGACUCUUCUCCCCCUACUAAAAUCCUCCUCCUUUCAAGACACCAUCAAGAGUCACCUCCUCAGUGAAGCCUUCCAUGGUUUCAUACCACCCAUCCCUAUCUGAAUGAAUGUAUCUUUGUUCUCUGUUAUCCCAGUAUUUUGCCUGGGCUUCUGUCACACUACUUUCAAUGUCUACACCUCAGUUAUCUAAUCGAAAACCAAGAGUCAUCAGUCUCUAAAGUCCUUGCAAGCUUGAAUACUUUAUAUUUUUUUGCCAAUUAUAACUGAACAAAGCUGAAAAACUUAUUAUAUAUGGAU